GCACCCUCUGGGGGAAGAACCUUCUCCAGAUCCGAAUAUUUUGUCCCUGUAGUGCUGCGUCAGGAGCUCCCUGUGCCUGGUCCUCACCUUCCAGCCCAGGGCUAAUCCUCUCCAGUCACCCAGAGUAUCCUCACAGCAACCCCCAGGGAGGGAUGCAUUUCCCUGGCCGUGCAUAUUCCCAGAGUCCCCCUCACUUCUCCAUGGGAAUUACUGGGAAUGGACUCAUCAGACUCAUUGGGAAGGAGAAGGAGUGAUUCACACUGAGGUUCUUGGAGGGCUUUGUAGGACCUUCAGCCAACAACCCCGAGCAGCUCCAGGCUCUCUCCUGCCAGAACCUCGUUUCACCUCAGACCUGGCCCAAAUUACCUCAGGAACACGGAAGAGCCCAGACAGAGAUGUGGGGAGCAUGACAAGGAA